CGAGGCGUUGCCGGUGAGGCCACGCCUCUUCCGCCCCGCAGCUCCGACACCGCGUGUGGACUGCUCACGCUGCCGGGGCCGGGUUUCUCUGAACUCAACCUUGGUGUCCGGACUGGCGAGAUGGCGGCGGAGGUGUUGCCGAGUGCGAGGUGGCUGUACUGUGGGGAGCCCGACGAGAGCCAGAGAGCAGUACUGGUCCAGUUCUCCAAUGGGAAGCUGCAGAAUCCAGGCAACAUGCGUUUUACUUUGUACAAGAGCAAUGACUCCACAAACCCCAGGAAGAAGAGUCAGCGGAUCCUAGCAGCUGAAACAGACAGACUUUCCUAUGUGGGAAACAAUUUUGGGACCGGAGCUCUCAAAUGCAACACUCUGUGCAGGCAUUUUGUGGGAAUUCUGAACAAGACCUCUGGCCAGAUGGAGGUGUAUGAUGCUGAGUUGUUCAACAUGCAGCCCCUGUUUUCAGAUGAAUCAGUUGAGAGUGAAUGGAUACAGGAGAGUGAGACCAAAACUUUUAGAGAAAAGAUGGAUUCUUGCAUCGAUGCCUUUGGAACCACCAAACAGAAGCGGGCUUUGAACUCCAGAAGAAUGAACAGAGUUGGCAGUGAAUCUCUGAAUUGUGCAGUAGCUAAAGCUGCAGAGAAUAUUAUUGAUGCAAAGGGUGUGACUGCUCUGGUCAAUGACGCCAUCCAUGAUGACCUGCAAGAUGACUCCCUCUACCUUCCUCCCUGCCACGCUGAUGCAGCCAAGCCUGAAGACGUGUAUAAAUUUGAAGACCUUCUCUCCACUGCGGAGUAUGAAGCUCUUCAGAGCCCAUCCGAAGCUUUCAGGAAUGUCUCAUCAGAGGAAAUACUGAAGAUGAUUGAGGAGAACAGCCACUGCUCCUUUGUCAUCGAAGCGUUGAAGUCUUUGCCAUCAGAUGAGGAGAGCCGAGACCGCCAGGCCCGAUGCAUAUGGUUUAUGGACACACUCAUCAAAUUUCGAGCACAGAAAGUGAUUAAGCGGAAAAGUGCCCUGGGGCCUGGAGUCCCCCACAUCAUCAACACCAAACUGCUGAAGCAUUUCACCUGCUUGACCUACAACAACGGCAGCCUCCGGAACUUAAUUUCGGAUUCUAUGAAGGCGAAGAUCACUGCAUAUGUCAUCAUACUUGCGUUGCACAUAAGCGACUUCCAGAUUGACCUGACCGUGUUACAGAGAGACUUGAAGCUCAGUGAGAGAAGGUGGCAUGCAGAUACAGGAAAAACGAGUUCAUGAUCUCAGAACGUUCUGCACACUGUGAAGUCCUCUCCUCCAGAGAUUUUCAUGAGCAUUUGGUUCACAGAAGAGUCACUACAAAAUAACAAAGGCAGCAUUUUGUACAGCGACGCCCACUGGGGCCACCAGAGAAGUGCAAAAGACAGUGCUGGGGACGGGAGGGGCCAGUGCUCAUGUGCCCACAGUCCUGGGGAGAAGCCAGUGCUCCUGGCUCCCUCCAGCCACCCCCUCCACCCAGCCCAGGAGAGCAGCACCUAGGGCCUGGCAGAACCAGCCUGGGAAGCCACUGGUAAGGUGCACAACAGCGCCCCCAACAGGCUGGUGAAGGCCCCGCAUGAAAAGCCGAGUGGGAGGGGGAGUGUUCCGGCUGAGCCAGUCCUGCAUUCAGCCCCGUCCUCAAGCAGGUGGGAUCUGUGCCCACCUGGCUCUGGAACCUUGACACAUUCACAGUACGGUACAGUAAAGCCCUUUGGGAGGCCUUCCUCCCCUCACUCAGGCUACUGACCCUAUCCCAACCCUGGACUAGGAACUGGGGACAGACUGGGAGAGCUGGUCCUACCGUCCGGGAGCUCACAGGCAGGUGAGUGGGACAGGAAUGGACCUAGAAAACUCCAAAGCAAGGCAGAAAGUGCUCAGUACCUGAGAGGGGGCAGAGAAAGGGCAGCAGAGCCUCAGAGGGGGAAGAGCAUGGUCACUGCAGGGACGGGAGCUCUGUGGAGAAGGCAGUGUCUCAGCUAAACCUCAAAGACUAGGUGGGACGUGACAUGUGCAGAUGGCGAGAAGGGCAUGCCAGGAGGAGGUCAGAGCGUGGGCCAAGGCACAGAGUGGGGAACCGUGGUCGGGUCAGUAAAGGCAGGCAGUUAUCCAUGAGAGAACACGGAUACAGACAAGGGGACCUGGGCACCUCCAUCUCCACCAGUCUGGUGCCCAGGAGGGGCAGCUGGUGGGGGUGUGCGCAGGACCCGAACCCUUGCGCGGCAGGCCCCGAGCCUGCAUCCUCCUGAGUUUGGGAACUCCCUGAGGGCGGAGUGGAGUCUCGUGCAUCCUUGCCUUGCCCAACCUGGCACCAGGCUGCUCAAAGGAGGCCUGUGUUUUCAGCAUGUCCCUUGUCAUCCCUGAGGCAGCCUGUCCAGAGAGGCUCUCUGUUCCCCUCACAGUCCACGUUCAAGUUGAAGGGAACCAAACUCAACUCCUCCAGCCUCUGUAGACAGCCGGGAGGGUGUGGCCGCAUCCCUGCAGGGAUCGAGAGAGGCCCAAGAAAGGGGAAAAUUCUGGGGCUCUUUCUACCUCACUAGAAUCACCUCCUCCCUCAGGAGUCAGUCUGCUCUUCUCUGACUAGAGUCCGGGUUUGGUGUGUGUAAAACACCACUUCCCUGUCAUUCACACAGAAAGACCUGACUGAAGUUUUAGUAUCAAUUUUCCCCAACUCCAUAACCUCUAUAAGAGCUUGAGUGACAGGAAGCCCACCAAUCUUUUUUUUUUUUCUCAGUUCCCAGGAAGCGUGGAAGCCUGUUUUCUCUGGGGUACGGUGAGUAGGAGGACCGAGAGGGGCCUAGAGCCCCUCAGAUGCCGCUUCUUCCAUCCUGACAUUGCCUUUACCUCCUGGCUCACCUGAACACCCACGAGCCUGAGUGCAGGGUAUGGGGUUGCUGCUCCCGGAGUCUGGACAGCCCUCCAGCCACCCCACCCCGCGGCUCCCAUCCUUACAGAAUGGUGCAGAAGACGCUGCGGUUGCUGUGGUAACCACCCUCCACGCGGGCUGUGAUCCUCGUUGCCAUGGCUGUCACCUUCUGCCCACUGUGGGCUGCAGAGGGGCCUCGGAGACAGCUUUCAAGGUGUAUGACAUCCAUGUGUAUAGAAGCUUUAUUCAUAACCACCCCAAACUAGAAACUACUUACCCCUUCAGCUGAUGAACGGAUAAACAGUGUGGUACAUCCAUAUAAGGGAACACUACUCCGCAACAAAAAGAAUGAAUGGCAUGUGACACCAUGGGCAAAUCUCAGGACACAUUCUCGGUUGUUGGAGAUCUGCUGAAAAAUGGUCUUGCUGGUCUUGCCCUGGAAGAUGAUGUUCUCCUGCACCAGGGCCUUGGCGCGGCCCCGCACUGCAAUGCCGUAGGCCCGGAAUGAAUGGAUCCGGUUCUUUAUUACCUGGGAGAGACCGUCAGAGCUUGUCGUACCUCGGGGACUCCCAGACUGGUGGGGGGGGGCAGAUACCAUUGCCCCGGAGCUCCACCUUGCACUGGGCCUCGACCUUGACCCCACUCUGGCGGUUGCAGGAGAUACUGUUGUUGACCACGCGGGUGAGCUGGCUGCUCUGGGCCACGGUGAUCCCUCUGUCCCCAUUAGCGUGGAUCACAUUGGUGAGGACGUGCAGCGCCUCACUGCUCUGGACGUAGAGGCCUGAGGCUAGGGGUGGAGAGGUUGGGGAGCAGGGUCAGCCCUGACAACACAGUCAGGAAAAAACCUCCAUGGAAUUGUGCACCCGGCAGAGAGGUGGGGAAGAGGCAGCCGCACUCAGAACCGGCCCCUGGGAGUUACAUCUUUCAAGAUGGAUGACAAACCAGGAAUAUCAAGGAAACUCUGUUCCUUCUGAACUUAAGUGCUCGGUAAACAGGGAAAGGUGAUGCGAGACUCCUCGGGCUCAGUGGCUCCUGAGACCCAGGCUCUCCUCCCGUGUUGCCAGCCCACUGCUGUGUGCGCCUCCUGUGACGGGGCGCUCACCACCUGUCACGGCUGCCAUUCCACCUCCACACAGAGCUACCAGCUGGACGGCUGCUCCAGUUAUCUUCCCGUACCGAGCUGGAAUCUACCUCUCUAUUGUUUUGGGAUAUUUUCUUCACAAGGGAAAUUCUGUAAUUUUUGAAUAGAAAAAUUUAUAAGCUAAAGAUCUAAAAUGUGUUAGAAAUUUUGGAAAGAGAAUGGUGUUUGGGGUUGUAUCUGCUUAGAGACACUAUAUGCUUUUAGAAAAAAAGCGUAAAACUUAGCAGGCUUAGAGCCCCAUGACUUGGCCAGGAAGAGACGGGGGCAGGGGGGGCAGGGGGGCCUGGGGAUGAAGAGGAGAGGACUCCCCAGUGGUGUCCUCCACCCACCCCAAGAGCAAGAGACCUCGGCAGCGCUGGGAGGAGGCGGUGUGGAGGACAACAUGGGGUCACAUGGGAGCCAUGAGCCUGCAAGUUCCAACCUCUUGGUGCCACCUACCUGCUGCUUCUCCUGGCCUCUGUGAAUUUAUGGGGCUUUGCCUGUCCUCCAGACAGCAGGGCCACACGGAGAAAGCCCUGAACUGGGAGGGGACAGAACUCAUUUUCUGUCAGCUCCCACUCUCCCUGCCCUCUGCUAUUCCCAGGGCAAGAGCUCGCCAGUGCCCAGAAGCCUCCUUUUAACAAGACUGCCUCCAUCAGCCCGCCACAGUGGUCCUGAUGAUCAGCCAGGUUUGGGAGCCCUGCAGUUAGAUCAACUCUGUACGUUUCUUUUUUUCCCUCAAUUCAAUAAACACUGGAAUGUC